rnacentral:rRNA from 1 species
AGAGUUUGAUCCUGGCUCAGGACGAACGCUGGCGGCGUGCUUAACACAUGCAAGUCGAACGAUGAAGCCGGAGCUUGCUCUGGUGGAUUAGUGGCGAACGGGUGAGUAACACGUGAGUAACCUGCCCUUGACUCUGGGAUAAGCGUUGGAAACGACGUCUAAUACCGGAUACGAGCUAGGACCGCAUGGUCACUAGCUGGAAAGAAUUUCGGUCAAGGAUGGACUCGCGGCCUAUCAGUUAGUUGGUGAGGUAACGGCUCACCAAGACGACGACGGGUA